UCGGCGCGACGAUGACGUUUUCAGCACUCGUGCCUCGGGAAAACACCCGUAAUGUGAAAACUGUGUGCCGCCUAAUCCGUUAAACUGGCCGAUUUCAUGGCCCCGCUGGCGUCAUGGCUUAAAUACUAUAUACCACAACUAGUGGAUGCACCUCACCUGGUCAUAUGUUCUUCGGCGAUUUGUUUUGCUCUGGUUUGUCAUCCGAUGUCGGGCACUUUUGGCGCCCAUCGCCAUUAUGGUACUAUAUAGCCAACUUAUAAAUAUAGAUGUUUGUUUUGCCACGUCUAAUAGUCAACUGAGUCUAGUGCAUUUCGCCCUGCAUUUUCACUUCUGCAAUCGAUUGGCAACCCUCGGUUUAGUGUUUAACUGCAUUUCACCAUAGAAACUAAUUUUCUACUUGGGUAGUUGUUUCAAAAAACCUAUCCGAAGACUAUCGAAAGGAUACCUAUCCAUAUGUAGCGCAUGAUAAUCAUUCUGUAAUAUUGACAAUUAAAUCAAUUUAGAAUGUGCAUAUAGUAGAUUCCUGUGAAUUGAAGGCUCACAUGGCCCACUUGCAGUUGAAAACGCUAACCGCAGAGUGCUUAAAAGCUGAUUGCUGGGAAACACUUAAUGGGCGCUAAGUUAGCCGCAAAAUACAGUCGCUUAAGAAGCGGCUAACAAGUGGCUAACCGACUUUGCCGCAGCGAAUGAAUUGGCAAAGCCUUUCAAGCCGUUUAGUAAGCCCAAUAAUCGGAUGCCCCACCGCCGGGCGCCCUAACACCACCCACCGAACCAACCACCCACUCGGCAAUGAAAUGAUCGAUCUAUCUUUCCCAUGCUUGAGCUUCAAUCGGCGAUGUUUUUUUUAUGCGGUUAUUAAUAAAAAUGCAUUGGCCAUCCCUAGCCGUCGAUAGUGAGUAUCUGUGUGGAAAUCGGACGCACUGCAUCUGUGUGCGGUGUUUAUUGUGCAGCUUGUAAAUCAUUUUGCGUCAGGCUGCGUCCGCUGCCGUCUGCUGAAACUGCGGCGCUUUGCUGACGCUGGUAAACAUGUGUACGACACCAAAAACAGCAGCACAUGCUCACCGAGAGCCAAGACGGGUCUGCACACACAACUAAGGUC
ensembl:ncRNA lncRNA:CR44188 long non-coding RNA:CR44188